GCUGGGUGUGGUGGCACAUGCCUGUAAUCCCAGCAGCCCAGGGAGACUGAGGCAGGAGGAUCACAAGUUCAAAGCCAGCCUCAGUAACUUAGUGAGCCCCUGUUUCAA
rnacentral:sRNA from 1 species